GUGCUCACUUUGGCAGCACAUGCACUAAAAUUAGAAAGAUACAGAGAAGAUUAGCAUGGCCCCCUGCACAAGGAUGACAUAUAAAUUCAUGAAAUGUUCCAUAUUUUU
ensembl:snRNA U6 U6 spliceosomal RNA